AUGAUCUACAGACAGGCUAUCAAUUGUUUUAAUAAGAGGGUGAUGUCUAGACCGUUAUUCAGAAGGGGAAAAACUAAAACCCUACUUUUUAGAGCAAGAAGCUGUCUGUUGGCCUAUUCAGAUGAGAAAAUGCUGGGAUUGCACGGGGAAGGUUGGAGAAAGGAUGGGGAAAGUCAAUGCGAGUCGGCAGUUGGAACUCCCGAGUCCGAGAGCAUGCAUACAACUGAAUUGGGACUAAAGUGGGCACCUGAUUGCAUUUCACUCCAUUGCAUUGGCUUGGCCGGAUAAAACAGUCCUGCCUGACACAUUUGGAGAUCGAAGGACAUUAGAGAUCGUACGGGAGCCUUGGCGUUCAGCUCUGUGACUGACGAUGAGGGGAAGUUAAGAGCAGCAGCGGAGCCACUUGUUCAAUGGAGCUUUUGAUUCGAUCGCCAGCCAGACGACUCUGAGCCAAAGUCUUCCUCUGUCACUGGCACCUUGUGCUUUGAUUGCACAGCCAUUUGAAAAGGAUAGAGUAUCAUAGCAACUGUGUCAUGGACAUACCUUCACACAGGAAAUAAAAUGGUUUGAUGGAAGUCUACGUAACACCGUAAUGUAGGCACAACGUCAAACCAACAUACUCCUUUAAAAGGCUCACAAUAGCAAAGGAUAUACUUAAAUGCAUGCUGGCCCCACCAUUAUUGAAUUGACUUUUUAUUUUUAAACUGCAGAGGUAUAAAUGUUAGUGUUAUAGCUAAAUCCCAGACCAUACUUUCCACCUAAAUCACCCACUAUAACAAGAUAUGGAUAAUUUCCCAUGUUAUCCUGUGACC
rnacentral:lncRNA from 13 species